UACGGAGGGGGCGAGCGUUGUCCGAAUUUACUGGGCGUAAAGCGCGCGUAGGCGGGUGGCUAAGUCUGCCGUGAAAGCCCGGAGCUCAACUCCGGAGGGUCGGUGGAUACUGGCUGCCUUGAAGAGGCUAGGGGGAAGUGGAAUUACCGGUGUAGCGGUGAAAUGCGUAGAUAUCGGUAGGAACACCAGUGGCGAAGGCGGCUUCCUGGGGUCUUCUUGACGCUGAGGCGCGAAAGCUGGGGGAGCGAACGGG
rnacentral:rRNA from 1 species